CAGUCGCCGCGGUAAUACGAAGGGUGCAAGCGUUAAUCGGAAUUACUGGGCGUAAAGCGCGCGUAGGUGGUUUGGUAAGAUGGAUGUGAAAUCCCCGGGCUCAACCUGGGAACUGCAUCCAAAACUGGCAAGCUAGAGUAUGGUAGAGGGUGGUGGAAUUUCCUGUGUAGCGGUGAAAUGCGUAGAUAUAGGAAGGAACACCAGUGGCGAAGGCGACCACCUGGACUGAUACUGACACUGAGGUGCGAAAGCGUGGGGAGCAAACAGGAUUAGAUACCCCUGUAGUCCCUGUCUCUUAUAC
rnacentral:rRNA from 1 species